GGCAAUACAGAGAUGAUCAGCAGUUCCCCUGCAUAAGGAUGAACCGUUUUACAAAGAGAUUUCUUCGGGAAUCUCUUUGCCUUUUGGCUUAGAUCAAGUGUAGUAUCUGUC
rnacentral:misc_RNA from 1 species